AAUGGAAAUACGGUCGAUGAUCUGUUUUGUUAUAAAGAUUCCGCCAGUGUGCGAAAUAUUAGGUAUUGUGUAGAUUUUGAAAGUCUCAAUUCAAAGAGCAACUUUUUUAUGACGUCAAUAUAGGACAAGCCGAUAGCCAUGACACUGUCCCAUAUGAACAAUCCUACUGACUGAUCCAGACGAUUACAAUACUCAAUACUCGCCCUGACGCUACAGGGCCGGCUUAUAUAAGUGCUCGCUUACCCGAGAAAGGGAGAAAUGUGUACAGGCAGAAGGCCGCCGUCGCCGUCAGUCGCCGCACACUGGCUUUGGCUUAUAGAAGUAGCACCGAGCACAGAGCACCGAGUUUUGUGAAACACACCAGAGUGGGCACC